AUUAUCCUGAAAUGUGCGUUAGGGUAUUAUAAUUCAACCUACAUUGCGACAUUGGGAGCCUGCGUUUUCGUCAGCCUAUGUCAUGCCUCCUGUGAGGACGACAGAAGCGGAAACAGGGCACCCCCCUAUUGAAAGAUAGGGCGUGAAUUAUAUCCUCGACGGCAUCUCGGGAUUUUU
rnacentral:other from 1 species